rnacentral:rRNA from 1 species
UACGUAGGGUGCAAGCGUUGUCCGGAAUUAUUGGGCGUAAAGAGCUCGUAGGCGGUCUGUCGCGUCGGAUGUGAAAAUCCAGGGCUCAACCCUGGACCUGCAUUCGAUACGGGCAGACUAGAGUUCGGUAGGGGAGACUGGAAUUCCUGGUGUAGCGGUGGAAUGCGCAGAUAUCAGGAAGAACACCCGUGGCGAAGGCGGCUCUCUGGGACGGUACUGACGCUGAGACGCGAAAGCGUGGGGAGCGAACAGG